GACGUAGGGCGCAAGCGUUGUCCGGAUUUAUUGGGCGUAAAGAGCUCGUAGGCGGCUUGCCACGUCUGCCGUGAAAACCAGCAGCUUAACUGUUGGCUUGCGGUUGAUACGGGUUGGCUGGAGUUCGGUAGGGGAGACUGGAAUUCCUGGUGUAGCGGUGAAAUGCGUAGAUAUCUGGAGGAACACCGGUGGCGAAGGCGGCAUCCUGGACCAAUAUUGACGCUGAGGAGCGAAAGCCAGGGGAGCAAACGGG
rnacentral:rRNA from 1 species